rnacentral:rRNA from 1 species
UACGUAGGGGGCUAGCGUUGUCCGGAAUCAUUGGGCGUAAAGAGCGUGUAGGCGGCUUGGUAAGUCCGCUGUGAAAGUCCAGGGCUCAACCCUGGAAUGCCAGUGGAUACUGUCAAGCUAGAGUCCGGAAGAGGCGAGUGGAAUUCCUGGUGUAGCGGUGAAAUGCGCAGAUAUCAGGAGGAACACCAAUGGCGAAGGCAGGUCUCUGGGCCACUACUGACGCUGAGAAGCGAAAGCAUGGGGAGCGAACAGG